GCAUGUGUCAUUUUUCUCAGUCUCUGUCAAAUCCUGUAACUAAUACCAUGAAAAUAAAAUGUAACCUCACAUAAUAAUUUCACACACUACUUAAUUCUGCCAUGUACGUUACUUCUAUCUUCCCAACAUCUAUCUUACUACCUCCUCCAGGGAGGGAAUGGAUCAUAAACUGCUUUUUAGUCUGUUGCAGUUCUCACAUUUCCAUGAAAAUGUCUUUGGAUAUGUGCAACAGGAGAUUAGAGUUGCGUCUGCUUCCUAUAUAUCAGCAAAAUGGAUCACAGUGCUGCCAGGAGACUUCCAUUAGAGUCAUAAAUCUUCGAAAUACUGUGCAUUUUUCGGAGGAUGAAGCCUGAUAUUCGGAAAGCAGUACAGUAAUUUUCUGCUGACAGAUACCCCACCAGGAUGAUAAAAGAAACCGUCUCAAGUGGGGAGCUACAGAGGACGCUCAACAUCAGGCAAGUAAGAGACGCUUUUUGAAAAUAAUUAUCCUCCCUCUACAAAGCGAUAUACGUGUUUCUUAAUAUUAUUUUAUUUUUCUUUUUAAAUUUAGUUCCGGCGCUCUGUUUUGCAGAAUAUCAGAAUUAAAUAGAAAAUGACGAAGAAGAGGACCAUUUUUCCCUCCUUGCAACACAGCACGUUCAGUAGCUUGGUGAUUCCAAACAUGUUUUUUUAAAUAACAGAAAGAAUUAAACUCAAUAUGUAAUGAGUUAAAACACGUCAUAUAAAUUCAUUUUUCUGUGACACUCUCUAUGCAGUGGAAUAGAUGAUACAAAACUGCUAUUAGUAGAGUAGCUGAAAGGUAACAUUGAUUCCCUGCAUGUUGCCAAGAUUUAGAUGAACCUUUGACUAGAAACAGCUUGAAGACAUCGGAGUUGUUUUUCUAGUGUCUAGAAUAAAACUGGGGCUCUUAAAAAUCAU
rnacentral:lncRNA from 1 species